GACGAACGCUGGCGGCGUGCUUAACACAUGCAAGUCGAACGGUGACGGAGAGCUUGCUCUCCUGGUCAGUGGCGAACGGGUGAGUAACACGUGGGCAACCUGCCCCAGACUUCGGGAUAACGCUUCGAAAGAGGUGCUAAUACCGGAUACGAACUCCUUGGGCAUCCUUGGAGUUGGAAAGUUUCUCGGUCUGGGAUGGGCCCGCGGCCUAUCAGCUUGUUGGUGAGGUAACGGCUCACCAAGGCGACGACGGGUAGCCGGCCUGAGAGGGCGACCGGCCACACUGGGACUGAGACACGGCCCAGACUCCUACGGGAGGCAGCAGUGGGGAAUAUUGGACAAUGGGCGGAAGCCUGAUCCAGCAACGCCGCGUGAGGGAUGACGGCCUUCGGGUUGUAAACCUCUUUCACCUACGACGAAGCCCUUUGGGGUGACGGUAGUGGGAGAAGAAGCACCGGCCAACUACGUGCCAGCAGCCGCCGUAAGAC
rnacentral:rRNA from 1 species